CCUCGACUCUGGAGGGAAGAGGUAGAGUGACCAGGUGUCUCUCUGUCGACACCACUCUGGCUGUUUCUUCUCCAGCCAGCGGAACAGUCUGGCAAAACGACCCUAGAGUGUUGUCCUCCAGAGAGACGUGUGUGGGGCCCAGGGCUGACGGAGAGCCCUUCCCAUUGCAGUCGCUGUGCUCUGGGGGCCGUAACUGGCCCAGUGAGGGGGGUCUGGAGCUGUGCAUGCUGGCUGAGCGGUACAGUUCCUUGUCACCUGGAAUAUUCCCUGCACCACUGCCUAGCUGUCUGCUUCACCAGUGUGCUGGAUCUUCACAAACCCUCCAGCCGGCUUGCUUACACCCACUGCUCCACCAUCUGCACUCGCCUGUUUUUUUCCACG